UACAGAGGGUGCGAGCGUUAAUCGGAAUUACUGGGCGUAAAGCGUGCGUAGGUGGUUUGUUAAGUCUGAUGUGAAAGCCCUGGGCUCAACCUGGGAAUUGCAUUGGAUACUGGCAGGCUAGAGUGCGGUAGAGGAUGGCGGAAUUCCCGGUGUAGCAGUGAAAUGCGUAGAGAUCGGGAGGAACAUCUGUGGCGAAGGCGGCCAUCUGGACCAGCACUGACACUGAGGCACGAAAGCGUGGGGAGCAAACAGG
rnacentral:rRNA from 1 species